UUCUCUGUAUCUUUGAAUACCCAACAUCACAGCGAACCUUGUAGUCAUGACAUCUCUAAUUAUCCAGAUCAUGAGGAAGUUCCAUCUAUAAAAAGCUUCCUCUAUAACUUUCACGUUAGAAGUAUCAUCUAAAGAACACCAAAUCUGUAGGCACUGAAGAGUGACUCUGGCAUUUUGGUAAGAGUGAAAUAAUUAAAUAUUCAUAGUAAAUUUAGCUCCUUUUAGUUCAAGAUGUAUACUGUAU